rnacentral:rRNA from 1 species
GACAGAGGUCCCGAGCGUUAGGCGGAAUCACUGGGCUUAAAGCGUGUGUAGGCGGAUCGUUUAAGUGCCUUUGUGAAAUCCCACGGCUUAACCGUGGAACUGCUUGGCAUACUGGCGGUCUUGAGCCACUUAGGGGCAACCGGAACAAAUGGUGGAGCGGUGAAAAUGCGUAGAUAUCAUUUGGAACGCCAAUGGUGAAAACAGGUUUGCUGGGAGUGUGCUGACGCUGAGACACGAAAGCCAGGGGAGCGAACGGG